rnacentral:lncRNA from 1 species
AGUAUUUAUAGUGUCAUAGUCUAGCCCUUGUAUUAGCCCUGCAUUGUGAUUGGAGGUAAUCGGAGAUACAUACCAUUCUCAUUAGCUGAAGUUUUUUUAUGCGGGUGAAGGAGAACCAACAGAUUGGAGGAAAUUAUUUAUCUAACAAAAACUUUCCAAUCAGUGUUCGUUCGAUGGCGAAAAAAUUGAAUCCAGUAGGAAUGGCUCUUUACACAUUAAGUGCUGCUAACUUUUUUAUGUAGCUGAAUUGCUGGAACCAUGACUUGAAUUCCAAAAUUAAAUAAGAUCAAUAACAAAAGGAAAAGGUUCGAAAUUUAAAUUCUUUGAAGUUCAUAGAAAGAAAAUUGGCUAUGAUGAAACUUUCUUCAAAAUUUUGAAGGAUGUAAUAAGACGUAAUGAUCAAAGACUACAAAAAUCUUAAAUGUCUUUUCAAAUUCAAGCUUUUUUGAAAGAUGUUCAUGCUAGAUCAAAAUCAGAAAAGGUGUUUUGUAAGUGCAAGACUAUUUUUCAAUAUUUUUUUAUUUAUUUAUAUUGUAUUAGUUUUCAUGGAUUAAACAACUAUUGAUUAAACAAUC